rnacentral:rRNA from 1 species
GUGCCAGCAGCCGCGGUAAUACGGAGGGUGCAAACGUUGCUCGGAAUCAUUGGGCGUAAAGCGCACGUAGGCGGCCUUGUAAGUCGGAUGUGAAAUCCCUGGGCUUAACCGAGGAAGUGCAUUCGAAACUGCAAGGCUUGAAUACAGGAGAGGAUCGCGGAAUUCCCGGUGUAGAGGUGAAAUUCGUAGAUAUCGGGAGGAACACCAGAGGCGAAGGCGGCGAUCUGGACUGAUAUUGACGCUGAGGUGCGAAAGCGUGGGGAGCAAACAGGAUUAGAAACCCGUGUAGUCC